rnacentral:rRNA from 1 species
GUGGCAAGCUGCGAUAAGCCCCGGCGAGGCGCAGGCAGCCGUCGAACCGGGGAUGCCCGAAUGGGACCUCCUGCGGCUCUUGCCGCACUCCCAGUCGGGAGGGGGAACGCGGGGAAUUGAAACAUCUUAGUACCCGCAGAAA